rnacentral:tRNA from 1 species
CAAAUUAGAGCUUGAUUAGUAAAGCAUUUCGUUUACAUUGAAAAGUUUACCGUGCAAUUCGGUUUAGUUUGA